rnacentral:rRNA from 1 species
GAUGAACGCUGGCGGCGUGCCUAAUACAUGCAAGUCGAGCGAACAGACGAGGAGCUUGCUCCUCUGACGUUAGCGGCGGACGGGUGAGUAACACGUGGAUAACCUACCUAUAAGACUGGGAUAACUUCGGGAAACCGGAGCUAAUACCGGAUAAUAUAUUGAACCGCAUGGUUCAAUAGUGAAAGACGGUUUUGCUGUCACUUAUAGAUGGAUCCGCGCCGCAUUAGCUAGUUGGUAAGGUAACGGCUUACCAAGGCAACGAUGCAUAGCCGACCUGAGAGGGUGAUCGGCCACACUGGAACUGAGACGCGGUCCAGACUCCUACGGGAGGCAGCAGUAGGGAAUCUUACGCAACGGGCGAAAGCCUGACGGAGCAACGCCGCGUGAGUUAUGAAGGUCUUCGGUUCGUAAAACUCUGUUAUUAGGGAAGAACAAAUGUGUAAGUAACUAUGCACGUCUUGACGGUACCUAAUCAGAAAGCCACGGCUAACUACGUG